CCAGAGAGUGAUCCUGCUGUAAUCUACUCCAGAGUGAGAACAGAAGACGUCUGUUACGGACAAAUAGUGAACAAAGACAAGAAACCAAACAGGAAGAGAGAGAGUGAUCCUGCUGCAAGCUACUCUGGAGUGAGAUCAACAGACGUCUGUUACGGACAAAUAGUGAAGAAAUCAAACAGGAAGAGAGAGAGAGAUCCAGCUGCAGUCUCCUCAGCAGUGAGAGGAGCAGAAGACGUCAGUUAUGGACAAAUAGUGAUCAAAUCAAACAGGACCAGAGGUACAGCUGCUCUUUAUUUCUCAACGUUGAUCU